rnacentral:lncRNA from 1 species
GACACGUCGUUCUCAGCAGCUGAAGCCAUGUGCUGUGACUAUCUUUGGAGCCUCCCCAGCCCUGUUUAGUGCACAGCUGAACUGUAACUGUUGCAAACAUCUGGAGUGGAUGAGAUGGGAAAGGAGACCCGCAGUGAUUGUGGAUUCUGGGGAAGAUGGACCAGUGGUGGUGUGGUAGAUAGGUUGGGAAUCUUUUCAAAAUACAGCAAGAGGACACUGAUGAAGACUGUUGCAGGUCUAACUCUUCAGCCUGGCUUCAGAGGAGGGAUGGAGGUAUCUUAGCUCCCAGUGUAUAGCAGCAGAAGUAGAAGAUGCAGAAGAAGCAGAUGUGAACCGUGCUACACGUACCAACCAGGGCAAAGCUACUAGAACUUUCUCAACACCUGUUUCCUCAUAAUAACAGGGGAAUAAUUAAACCCAGCAUGGCAGGUUUGAGGAAUCCCACAUGCUGAUGUCUUUAAAGCACACAGCAGAGGCAUCUGGAAGGCUUCACGCAGACAUGUUCCUCAUGUGCCAGGUGCUCAGAAGAGCAACUACUUAUUGCCCGUAGUCCUGUGGCCAGUGUGACUUCUAUGCUUCAAAUUCCUUCCUACAAGGCUUGAAUAAUAAUAAAAAGACCAAAGACACCA